CAGAUACACCAGAUCAACCUCAACAAGCUCCACAAUCAGAUUUUCCUGACCCUACUCCUACUUCCAUAUCGCCUCAUUCUUUACUGCAAGAGACGAGUGCAAUAAGGAUUUCUAUCCAUGAGGAAUGCGGUCUCCCGAAAGUACAACCCAAAACAAGGAGGAGAAUCAUUGGGGUACCAUCUGAUAUGCUUCUAGACGUACCAAAACGAGUAAUAAAACCAAGCAGAAUGGUGAAGUCUCCAUUUCUUUGCAAACAGUACCAAUGUGUCAGGCUUGAUGUCCAGGCACAAGAAGAUUUAUUCACAUAUACAAACUCAAUUUCUGCUGCCGACCAACUGAGAAAAAUUUGGCUACACAUAUCUGAUCCAGUCCCAAGGUUUCUAAAAUUGCAACAGAUACAAGAAGCCCUCGCAUUUG